rnacentral:rRNA from 1 species
UUAAGCGACUAAGCGUACACGGUGGAUGCCCUGGCAGUCAGAGGCGAUGAAGGACGUGCUAAUCUGCGAUAAGCGUCGGUAAGGUGAUAUGAACCGUUAUAACCGGCGAUUUCCGAAUGGGGAAACCCAGUGUGAUUCGUCACACUAUCAUUAACUGAAUCCAUAGGUUAAUGAGGCGAACCGGGGGAACUGAAACAUCUAAGUACCCCGAGGAAAAGAAAUCAACCGAGAUUCCCCCAGUAGCGGCGAGCGAACGGGGAGCAGCCCAGAGCCUGAAUCAGUGUGUGUGUUAGUGGAAGCGUCUGGAAAGGCGCGCGAUACAGGGUGACAGCCCCGUACACAAAAAUGCACAUNNNNNNNNNNNNNNNNNNNNNNNNNNNNNNNNNNNNNNNNNNNNNNNNNNNNNNNNNNNNNNNNNNNNNNNNNNNNNNNNNNNNNNNNNNNNNNNNNCUGUGAGCUCGAUGAGUAGGGCGGGACACGUGGUAUCCUGUCUGAAUAUGGGGGGACCAUCCUCCAAGGCUAAAUACUCCUGACUGACCGAUAGUGAACCAGUACCGUGAGGGAAAGGCGAAAAGAACCCCGGCGAGGGGAGUGAAAAAGAACCUGAAACCGUGUACGUACAAGCAGUGGGAGCACGCUUAGGCGUGUGACUGCGUACCUUUUGUAUAAUGGGUCAGCGACUUAUAUUCUGUAGCAAGGUUAACCGAAUAGGGGAGCCGAAGGGAAACCGAGUCUUAACUGGGCGUUAAGUUGCAGGGUAUAGACCCGAAACCCGGUGAUCUAGCCAUGGGCAGGUUGAAGGUUGGGUAACACUAACUGGAGGACCGAACCGACUAAUGUUGAAAAAUUAGCGGAUGACUUGUGGCUGGGGGUGAAAGGCCAAUCAAACCGGGAGAUAGCUGGUUCUCCCCGAAAGCUAUUUAGGUAGCGCCUCGUGAAUUCAUCUCCGGGGGUAGAGCACUGUUUCGGCAAGGGGGUCAUCCCGACUUACCAACCCGAUGCAAACUGCGAAUACCGGAGAAUGUUAUCACGGGAGACACACGGCGGGUGCUAACGUCCGUCGUGAAGAGGGAAACAACCCAGACCGCCAGCUAAGGUCCCAAAGUCAUGGUUAAGUGGGAAACGAUGUGGGAAGGCCCAGACAGCCAGGAUGUUGGCUUAGAAGCAGCCAUCAUUUAAAGAAAGCGUAAUAGCUCACUGGUCGAGUCGGCCUGCGCGGAAGAUGUAACGGGGCUAAACCAUGCACCGAAGCUGCGGCAGCGACGCUUAUGCGUUGUUGGGUAGGGGAGCGUUCUGUAAGCCUGNAUGCUGGAGGUAUCAGAAGUGCGAAUGCUGACAUAAGUAACGAUAAAGCGGGUGAAAAGCCCGCUCGCCGGAAGACCAAGGGUUCCUGUCCAACGUUAAUCGGGGCAGGGUGAGUCGACCCCUAAGGCGAGGCCGAAAGGCGUAGUCGAUGGGAAACAGGUUAAUAUUCCUGUACUUGGUGUUACUGCGAAGGGGGGACGGAGAAGGCUAUGUUGGCCGGGCGACGGUUGUCCCGGUUUAAGCGUGUAGGCUGGUUUUCCAGGCAAAUCCGGAAAAUCAAGGCUGAGGCGUGAUGACGAGGCACUACGGUGCUGAAGCAACAAAUGCCCUGCUUCCAGGAAAAGCCUCUAAGCAUCAGGUAACAUCAAAUCGUACCCCAAACCGACACAGGUGGUCAGGUAGAGAAUACCAAGGCGCUUGAGAGAACUCGGGUGAAGGAACUAGGCAAAAUGGUGCCGUAACUUCGGGAGAAGGCACGCUGAUAUGUAGGUGAAGUCCCUCGCGGAUGGAGCUGAAAUCAGUCGAAGAUACCAGCUGGCUGCAACUGUUUAUUAAAAACACAGCACUGUGCAAACACGAAAGUGGACGUAUACGGUGUGACGCCUGCCCGGUGCCGGAAGGUUAAUUGAUGGGGUCAGCGCAAGCGAAGCUCUUGAUCGAAGCCCCGGUAAACGGCGGCCGUAACUAUAACGGUCCUAAGGUAGCGAAAUUCCUUGUCGGGUAAGUUCCGACCUGCACGAAUGGCGUAAUGAUGGCCAGGCUGUCUCCACCCGAGACUCAGUGAAAUUGAACUCGCUGUGAAGAUGCAGUGUACCCGCGGCAAGACGGAAAGACCCCGUGAACCUUUACUAUAGCUUGACACUGAACAUUGAGCCUUGAUGUGUAGGAUAGGUGGGAGGCUUUGAAGUGUGGACGCCAGUCUGCAUGGAGCCGACCUUGAAAUACCACCCUUUAAUGUUUGAUGUUCUAACGUUGACCCGUGAUCCGGGUUGCGGACAGUGUCUGGUGGGUAGUUUGACUGGGGCGGUCUCCUCCUAAAGAGUAACGGAGGAGCACGAAGGUUGGCUAAUCCUGGUCGGACAUCAGGAGGUUAGUGCAAUGGCAUAAGCCAGCUUGACUGCGAGCGUGACGGCGCGAGCAGGUGCGAAAGCAGGUCAUAGUGAUCCGGUGGUUCUGAAUGGAAGGGCCAUCGCUCAACGGAUAAAAGGUACUCCGGGGAUAACAGGCUGAUACCGCCCAAGAGUUCAUAUCGACGGCGGUGUUUGGCACCUCGAUGUCGGCUCAUCACAUCCUGGGGCUGAAGUAGGUCCCAAGGGUAUGGCUGUUCGCCAUUUAAAGUGGUACGCGAGCUGGGUUUAGAACGUCGUGAGACAGUUCGGUCCCUAUCUGCCGUGGGCGCUGGAGAA